GCGGGUGUCGUAUAACGGCUAUUAUGGGACUUUUCCAAAGUCCAGACGAGGGUUCGACUCCCUUCACCCGCUCCA
rnacentral:tRNA from 1 species